rnacentral:rRNA from 1 species
GAUGAACGCUGGCGGCGUGCCUAAUACAUGCAAGUCGAGCGAACAGACGAGGAGCUUGCUCCUCUGACGUUAGCGGCGGACGGGUGAGUAACACGUGGAUAACCUACCUAUAAGACUGGGAUAACUUCGGGAAACCGGAGCUAAUACCGGAUAAUAUAUUGAACCGCAUGGUUCAAUAGUGAAAGACGGUUUUGCUGUCACUUAUAGAUGGCUCCGCGCCGCAUUAGCUAGUUGGUAAGGUAACGGCUUACCAAGGCAACGAUGCGUAGCCGACCUGAGAGGGUGAUCGGCCACACUGGAACUGAGACACGGUCCAGACUCCUAAGGGAGGCAGCAGUAGGGAAUCUUCCGCAAUGGGCGAAAGCCUGACGGAGCAACGCCGCGUGAGUGAUGAAGGUCUUCGGAUCGUAAAACUCUGUUAUUAGGGAAGAACAAAUGUGUAAGUAACUAUGCACGUCUUGACGGUACCUAAUCAGAAAGCCACGGCUAACUACGUG